UACGGAAGGGGCAAGCGUUGUUCGGAAUCAUUGGGCGUAAAGGGCGCGUAGGUGGUUCUGUAUGUCUACCGUGAAAGCAUACGGCUCAACUGUAUUUUGUCGGUAGAAACUGCAGGACUUGAGGCUGGGAGGGGCUGGUGGAAUUCCCUGUGUAGCGGUGAAAUGCGUAGAGAUGGGGGAGAACACUCGUGGCGAAGGCGGCCAGCUGGGCCGACCCUGACGCUGAGGCGCGAAGGCGUGGGGAGCGAACGGG
rnacentral:rRNA from 1 species